rnacentral:rRNA from 1 species
UACGUAGGGUGCGAGCGUUAAUCGGAAUUACUGGGCGUAAAGCGUGCGCAGGCGGUUGGUUAAGUCUGAUGUGAAAGCCCCGGGCUCAACCUGGGAAUGGCAUUGGAAACUGGCUGGCUAGAGUGUGGCAGAGGGGGGUGGAAUUCCGCGUGUAGCAGUGAAAUGCGUAGAGAUGUGGAGGAAUACCGAUGGCGAAGGCAGCCCCCUGGGAUAACACUGACGCUCAUGCACGAAAGCGUGGGGAGCAAACAGG